UGGACAGUGCCCUCCCCCCGGUGGUAGCAA
rnacentral:piRNA from 1 species